CUUUAUCAUAAAAUCAUCCCAAAGAAGUCGCACAAAAUAUUUGAUCUUAUCAGGCAAACUGUUUGUGGCUACUGUCCAAGUGUCACAUGGUGCACCCAGUCAGCAAGAAAUCCAGAAAUCACCUGUUCAAAAGUGAAGCGAAUUAUAUUCGUCCGUAAAAGUUUUCACAGACAGACUAAGAUGCCAUUUGUCUGUGGCUAAUAAGACCUCUACAGUAUUUUGUGGAAAUAAAGAACCAAAGAUUCAGGUCAUCAACGGGGAUUAAACCCUACAAGAAACUAGUUCAGGUUGAAGAAGUCUUGAAGAACUGCAACUUUACUGUCAUUUUGCAAAGAUGAGUUUACUUCUCUUUGAACCAAGAAUUUAAAGGACACUUCGUCAAUGAAAUAUGAACUGUCCAAAGGAGAGCUGUCUCAGGGAAGGGAUGACAUCUAGGUAGAUAUUCUUCUACUUUUACUGUGUUAUCUAUUAAAGUCUAUGAAUAAUCCAUGAGAUCUCCUUGUAUAUAGAAACCCCCCAAAAAAACCAUUACAUUCCAGUGAUUGUUUCUUGGUGCUUACUUCAACGUUCUCAUCCCUAGAGCUACCUUUUCUCUUGGUCAGCAACAAGAACAUGUGUUUUUGGUGCUGACCAAAAGACAAGUGGGCUCUGUGGAUAAGAGUACUCCCUCCCACCAUCGCUCUUACCUAUUGGAGGCACUUUCCUACUGUUUAUCACUUGCAAUUAAAAGGAAAAAUCUACUGUUUUUAAGUUAUUCCUCUAAACAAACAUCAUGCCAUCACACUUCAAGUUUAUUUCACAAGGUAGUUUUGUGGCUACUUCCAUGUCACUUUUUAACCAUUGAGUUUGAAUCUAUCAGUCAACCAACUGGGAAGAUUUUUGGUUUUGGCAGAAUUUGCAAAUUGGGUUAUUUAUGAGUCAUUCGAUGGAUUUUUGGAUAAAGUUUUAAUUGAAAUCUUUUUUCAUAAAUUUUUGACAAAUGACUUUGAAAGCUUUAUUAGCUUCUUUCCCAUUAGUAUUAAUUUUGUGUGUGUUUGAAUGUCUUCAGUUCGAUUACUUGUUAGUCCUUUUUGUUAUAAAGAAUAGGGCCAUCAUGCUAUGCAUGGUCCACUGGCUAGUAAAAUAAAGUCGAGUUUCGGACUGAAAAUAUUUUUUUCCUGCUUGUAAUAUUAAUUUUGACCUUCUUUUAACAAACUCUACAUCCAUUGAAAAACAAUAAUUUGGUUUUAUCAAACAAGUAGAUAAAGGUUGAAUUACCACCAUGAAAGAUUUAGAAAGCUGACAUUUCGAGCGUUAGCCCUUUGUCAAAUUUCAUUUCACUCUCCUGCCAAUGCAAUACCACAGUUUUUUUAGAAACUAGAAAUCCAUUUACUGAAAACUAAUGUCCCCUUUUAGAUUAAGGAUGUAUGCUCAUUUUGGUGAUUUUUCCUUUUUCUCAUUAAAAAAAAAUUGCUUCAGUUGUCAUGGCCCCAUUAAAAUAAUAGCCAAGAUUUUUUUCUAAUAAUUCGAAAAAUACCGAAUCAUCAGGAAAAUGUAUCUUAUUUGCUCGUGGUAAUCAAGGAUAAGUUUGCAUCAUUUACUUAUGAGCCUCACUGAAAUUUAAUUGGGCCUAAUGGCACCAAUCAUGAAAAAAGGCAUGUAAAUAAAAACAACAUUCACAAUAUUAACAAAGACAACAAUAAUGAAGUAACUACUGCAGUUUAUUAAACCAUUGAGGGGUAUAAGAAUACCUUCUAGUGUUGUCGGUCUUCAUAAAAGUUACACUGCAAUACAACUCUUCUAUGGCUAUGAGUAAGAAAGCCAUUGCAGUUACUUUGAACAGUUUUAAAAGGAGACAUGAUUAAUAACUACGAAGUCCUGGUGUUGCAAUUGGUUAAGGUGGCUCAAUACAGUUUCCAGCACUUACAUUUGGAUGGGUCGUUACAACCACUCUUUGUCACUUGAUGCUAC